AACUUAGCGAAAGGAGGUGAUCCGAUGUCUCAUGGCUCAGCACAGAGGUCGGUUCGGUCCGUUCGGAGAGCGCGGGGCUGAACCCCGCAAAAGCUUUCCGGGCCGGCACUUCCGGCCGCUGACCAUGUUUGAGGAUCGCCGGGUUCGCCCGGCGGUCCU
rnacentral:sRNA from 1 species